GUCGAACGCGUUGGCCCAAUUGAUUGAUGGUGCUUGCACCUGAUUGAUUUUGGUCGCCAACGAGUGGCGGACGGGUGAGUAACACGUAGGUAACCUGCCCAGAAGCGGGGGACAACAUUUGGAAACAGAUGCUAAUACCGCAUAACAGCGUUGUUCGCAUGAACAACGCUUAAAAGAUGGCUUCUCGCUAUCACUUCUGGAUGGACCUGCGGUGCAUUAGCUUGUUGGUGGGGUAACGGCCUACCAAGGCGAUGAUGCAUAGCCGAGUUGAGAGACUGAUCGGCCACAAUGGGACUGAGACACGGCCCAUACUCCUACGGGAGGCAGCAGUAGGGAAUCUUCCACAAUGGAC
rnacentral:rRNA from 2 species